CAAGUGGGCUCGCUGGGUGCGUUUUUCUCACCCAGGUAUUCAAAGAAUUAUAGGAAAAUCCUUCCCAAGGCUUUGGGUGAAGUGGUUUCCCAAAUCCUGGCAGGGAACAGCUCUGAAGUGAGGACUGUGCUUAAGCUCAGCAGAAGAAGCUCCUUCGGGGACCAGCUCCUGCCUUUUCCUCUCGGGCCCCUCCUGAGCAAGCGCCUUCCUUCCUCCUUGUGCCAUGAGAAACUUGGACAAGGCGCCGCUGAGACACGAGGGCAAUUGCCUCCUUCACAGUCACCCAGCCCAGGUGCCUCCCAGACCCCACCUUUCCCCUUAAAAGACAUUUAAUUGAUGGCUAAGAACAAGCAGAGAGAAAAUACCCACUGGGCAGCUCCGAAAGCGCUGCAGAUAAUCAUCAGGGUGCCCUACAUACUGCCUCUGCUUGGCUGCGAGAUCAGACGGCGAGAAGAAUUUGACAUUGUUUAAAAUGAACAGGAGAGGGAAGGAACAACUCCAUAAUUACUCACCCGGAGUUAAUUGACGGUAAUUACACUGAGUAGGCAGGGGAGGAAGCUGCGAUGGGCUAGCCCCGCAGAGUCAUCCGGGGAGCCGUGCCUGCUCCGCUGCCGCGCAGGUGCCCUCUGAACCCCGGCUCGCGGGCGAGGUGGCAGCCUGGCUCCGAGGGGGUUAACUUGAUGGGUUUGGUUUUCUUUUUUUCUUUUUUUUUUCUUCCUCUUCCCUCCUUGGUUAUUUGCAGCAAACAGAGCCCGGGUGGAAGGUCUGAGCUGAGCAAGUGUUUGCUCGGGGGGGGGACCGGGAGCUGGCUCGCGCUUCCCGAGCCGCGCGGGGAGCGGAGGACGGGGCUGCCCCGCGCCCGCUGGCCCCGAUGGCCGAUGACAUCGAGUGGCUGGACCUGCCGGGCAGGUGGACCUACGGCGUCUGCGGGGACGGGCGCAUCUUCUUCAUCAACGACGAGACCAAGUCCACGAGCUGGGUGCACCCCAGCACGGGUUACUCCGUCCAGAGCGGGCACUUCUCCUGCGCCGGUAAGGGACAGGCCCCGGCUCCCCGUGCGUGCCCCCUGCCCUCUCUCAGGGCAGCUGGAGGCGUGUGGUGAAACGCUCCAGAAAUGCCUUGGAGCCCCCCGCGCAGCUGGGCGAGCAGGGGUGGGUUUUGGGGGGAGACUUGGAAAGAGGUGCGAGGUGAUGCCGCAU
rnacentral:lncRNA from 1 species